CCGUAAGUUCCCCGGCUUCCCGCCGGUCCUAUCUCCCGGAAUCACGUGUACGUGUGUUUGCACCAGCCUCCCCGUAGACUGCAAGCUCCUCGAGGGCAGGCCCUAGCCCACAGCGUGGCGCCUGGCACCCCCCGUGGCCUAGAAACCGCCGGCGUGUAAAAGAUCUCACUGGAAUGGAGAGCAUUACAAAGCUAUAAUAAUGAUUGUGAAGCUGAAGAGGCAGCAUUGAUCAAUUUAUAAUAACAGCAUUGGAAAGAUAAAUAGCUUUGAAAGCUGUAAGAACUCUGAUGAACACAAUGACCAUUCAUGAUUCCAGAACACCUAACUUCCUGACAGAGAAGUGAUGUACUCAAUGUACAGAUCAAAAGCUAUGAUUUCAUCAAGGUGGAGAAACUGCCAGUGUGAAAGCUCCUUCCACCAAUUUAGAAUGACAAUUCAACUGUAACAUAGUCUUGGAGAGUCAUUUGGGGCACUGAGAAGGCCAUAUAGCCAGCAUGCGUCAGAGACAGAACUUGAACCCAGACCUUCCUGAUCCCAAGGGAUACUUACCAAUUGGAAGGCAAUGAAAGCCAACAAGGGUGGUGGUGGUUUGGCCCACUCUGCAGUCUUUCAGACAUCUCAACACCGGCUGCACCGAUGAGCAUGAAGAAUUUUCUCCUCGAAGGACAAACCAGAACCACUCUCAAAUGACUGCAGUGACCUUCUGUUAGUAAAGCAUCUCUACCCAGAAGCUUUGGAAUGGCUUACUGAUUGACCAGUUUGACAUUGAUGGCCUUUUGGUCAGCAGACCCUUCAGCUGUUUUUAUCAACACCGGGAACCUCAGCUCGGAGCUGGCAUCCUGGGUUAGGAUGUGGAAGCAGUUGGCAAGCAGGGGAUAGCUAUACUGGCUUCCAUUGAAAGUGGUGAUCUUCUCUUGAUUGACUGAACAGUCAGCUGAGGGAAUAAGAUAAAACAGUGAGAAUUUGUUCAUUGAAGACCAUAGCAUUUGGACCUGGAAGGGACCUUAAAGUCCAUGUGGCUCAAUUCCCCCAUUUUAUGAUAAAGGAAACUGAUUCCAGUACUCAGUGAUACAGUAUGGUAGAUGAGACUACAAGAUACAGUGCAAACAGGGCUGGAUCAGAGGUCAGAGGAUUGGACUACUACUACUGGCUGUGUGAUCUUGGGCAUUUCUCAGUUCCCUCUGCUGUAAGAUGAGGAGGGUAUCACCUCGAAAGUCCUUACCAAUUCCAAGCCUAUGGUUGUAUAAAAUAAUUUGAAGAGAGAAAGGAGGCUGCAGUGAGGGAGUCAAGAAAGGUUUCCCAUAAGAGCUAGUCCAUGAGCUUACCCUGAAAGGAAGUUUGGCAUUCUAUGGGGCCCAAGUGAAGACAUAUUCCAGGCAUUGGGCAGAGCCUAUAGAAAGGCAGAGAGGAAGGAUAUGGUAGAGCAUGAAGGCUAUGAUUCUGAGGCUGGCCCUAGUGUAAGACAGCAGGUCCUCAAAACUGCAUGGGACCUCAGAGGUCUUCCAGUUAUAUCCCCUUGUGUUAUGGAUAAGGAAAGUCAGGUAGAGAGCAGUCAUGUGAUUUGGCCAAGCUUACAUAGUCACCUUCUGACUUGAAAUCCAGUAUUCUUUCCACCACACUCCAAGGUAGAAUUUGCUCUUUUCUUUUUUAAAAAACUUAUUCUUAUGCAUAUAUUUUGUUUUUACGUUGCCUAGAUUUCUGUCUGUACUCUCUCCCUCCCAGAGAAUCAUUUCUCAUAAUGAAGAAGUUGUAAAAGAAAAGGAGGAAGAGGAAGAAAUCAAUAAAACUGAUUAACCCAGCUAAAGAAUCUUGUGCUAUGUGCAAUGUUCUUCACCCAGAGACCUCCACCUCUGCAAAAGCAGUGCAAGGUGUCAAGACACCAUUUUCUAACUCAAUAAAUGCUAGCUGAAUUGAAUUUAUUUAAUUUGACAGAUGCCACUGAUUUCCAUAGGAGGAUCCCCAUAGGGCAGGAGUACUGCAUAUGUAAACCCUAAAACAAAAGCCUCUAGAGGCCAACUUUCUCACCUUGGAAAGUCUCCAUAGUGGAAUCUGUGACUUGUGUGAAGAAAUCCCCCACCUGGACAGGCAGCUUGGAAGCUGGUGCCGGCAGACUGAGAGGGUAUGGGAUGGGUAAGAGAAUGCCUUGUCCAUAAAAAGUAACCUGCCAAUGAAAAAAAGCAGCUACGUGGUGCAAUGGAUAGACAGUACUGUGCCUGGAGUCAGGAAGACC